AGUCCCAGUGUUCAUCCGUGAAAGGGUUCAAAGUGGCCUAAACAGCAAGGGUGCAAACGCGAUGGAAACACACACACACACAGGUGGCAUUACAAGAUGUGCACAAAAUAUACCAUAUUUCAUGGUGGUUGUCUGAGUGCUGGAAUCUGUAGCACAUUUUAUUAUAUAUACUCGUCUGUAUUUCUCCAAGUCUUUGGCAAUCAGCAUUG